rnacentral:rRNA from 1 species
GACGAACGCUGGCGGCGUGCUUAACACAUGCAAGUCGAACGGAAAGGCCCUGCUUUUGUGGGGUGCUCGAGUGGCGAACGGGUGAGUAACACGUGAGUAACCUGCCCUUCACUUUGGGAUAAGUUCAGGAAACUGGGGCUAAUACCGGAUAGGAGCUCCCGCUGCAUGGUGGGGGUUGGAAAGUUUCGGCGGGUGGGGUUGGACGCGCGGCUGACCAGCUUGUUGGUGGGGUAGUGGCUUACCAAGGCUUUGACGGGUAGCCGGCCUGAGAGGGUGACCGGCCACAUUGGGACUGAGAUACGGCGCAGACUCCUACGGGAGGCAGCAGUGGGGAAUAUUGCACAAUGGGCGGAAGCCUGAUGCAGCGACGCCGCGUGCGGGAUGACGGCCUUCGGGUUGUAAACCGCUUUCGCCUGUGACGAAGCGUGAGUGACGGUAAUGGGAAAAGAAGCACCGGCUAACUACGUG